CACUAGUUCUCAAUAGCAGACCCUUAUAACUCAUCAUGUAUAAACUGUUACAACUAAAUCAAGUGCAUCAUCGCAUUAUGUAUAUUCAGCUUUAAUGGCAACAUAAACUUCAAAAUAGGUGUUAAGUUAGAUCAAAAACAAUACUAGACAGAACUCCUUGCCCCAAAUUUGACAAUUAGCCUCAAGUACACCGUUAGAUUCAGUUAUCAUGUUUAACUUGGGUAUUUCCCCCCAAAAUUUUAGUUUGAUAUAACCCCACAAACACCAAACUCACAGGCAGACAAAUGCGUAAGAAAUACAAGCCCA
rnacentral:lncRNA from 1 species